rnacentral:tRNA from 1 species
GGUGGUUAAGCACUCAGUUGCUAACUGAAAGGUUGGUGGUUCAAAUCCACCAGCUGCUC